AUUGAACGCUGGCGGCAUGCUUUACACAUGCAAGUCGAACGGUAACAGGCCGCAAGGUGCUGACGAGUGGCGAACGGGUGAGUAAUGCAUCGGAACGUGCCCAGUCGUGGGGGAUAACGCAGCGAAAGCUGUGCUAAUACCGCAUACGAUCUAUGGACGAAAGCGGGGUACCGUAAGGCCUCGCGCGAUUGGAGCGGCCGAUGUCAGAUUAGCUAGUUGGUGGGGUAAAGGCCCACCAAGGCGACGAUCUGUAGCUGGUCUGAGAGGACGACCAGCCACACUGGGACUGAGACACGGCCCAGACUCCUACGGGAGGCAGCAGUGGGGAAUUUUGGACAAUGGGCGCAAGCCUGAUUCAGCAAUGCCGCGUGCAGGAAGAAGGCCUUCGGGUUGUAAACUGCUUUUGUACGGAACGAAACGGUCUGGGUUAAUACCCUGGGCUAAUGACGGUACCGUAAGAAUAAGCACCGGCUAACUACGUGCCAGCCGCCGCCGUAA
rnacentral:rRNA from 1 species